rnacentral:rRNA from 2 species
UUGUCUCAAAGAUUAAGCCAUGCAUGUCUAAGUUCACCCCCUCGAACGGGUAAACCGCGAAUGGCUCAUUAAAUCAGUCGAGGUUCCUUAGAUGACACGAAACUGACUCGGAUAACUGUGGCAAUUCCAGAGCUAAUACGUGCACUCAAGCCCCGACCUCCGCGAGGGGGAAGGGGCGCUUUUAUUAGUUCAAAACCGGUGGCGCGCGUCCGUCCUUCGCGGGGCGCGGCGCGCCCUCCCCCUUGAUGACUCUGGAUAACUUUGAGCUGAUCGCACGGCCUUCGUGCCGGCGACGCAUCUUUCAAAUGUCUGCCCUAUCAAAUGUCGACGGUACGUGACAUGCCUACCGUGUUGGCGACGGGUGACGGGGAAUCAGGGUUCGAUUCCGGAGAGGGAGCACGAGAAACGGCUACCACAUCCAAGGAAGGCAGCAGGCGCGCAACUUACCCACUCCCGGCACGGGGAGGUAGUGACGAAAAAUAACAAUACGGGACUCUUCAUGAGGCCCCGUAAUUGGAAUGAGCGCAGUCUAAACCCUUGAGCGAGGACCCAUUGGAGGGCAA